rnacentral:rRNA from 1 species
CGGAGGGAUCAUUACCGAGUUUACAACUCCCAAACCCCUGUGAACAUACCAAUUGUUGCCUCGGCGGAUCAGCCCGCUCCCGGUAAAACGGGACGGCCCGCCAGAGGACCCCUAAACUCUGUUUCUAUAUGUAACUUCUGAGUAAAACCAUAAAUAAAUCAAAACUUUCAACAACGGAUCUCUUGGUUCUGGCAUCGAUGAAGAACGCAGCAAAAUGCGAUAAGUAAUGUGAAUUGCAGAAUUCAGUGAAUCAUCGAAUCUUUGAACGCACAUUGCGCCCGCCAGUAUUCUGGCGGGCAUGCCUGUUCGAGCGUCAUUUCAACCCUCAAGCCCCCGGGUUUGGUGUUGGGGAUCGGCGAGCCCUUGCGGCAAGCCGGCCCCGAAAUCUAGUGGCGGUCUCGCUGCAGCUUCCAUUGCGUAGUAGUAAAACCCUCGCAACUGGUACGCGGCGCGGCCAAGCCGUUAAACCCCCAACUUCUGAAUGUUGACCUCGGAUCAGGUAGGAAUACCCGCUGAACUUAAGCAUAUCAAUAAGCGGAGGAAAAGAAACCAACAGGGAUUGCCCUAGUAACGGCGAGUGAAGCGGCAACAGCUCAAAUUUGAAAUCUGGCUCUCGGGCCCGAGUUGUAAUUUGUAGAGGAUACUUUUGAUGCGGUGCCUUCCGAGUUCCCUGGAACGGGACGCCAUAGAGGGUGAGAGCCCCGUCUGGUUGGAUGCCAAAUCUCUGUAAAGUUCCUUCGACGA